GGAGGCAAGCGUUAUCCGGAGUUACUGGGCGUAAAGCGCGUGCAGGUGGGUUAUUAAGUCACCUAUGAAAGCUCCCCGCUAAACUGGGAGAGGCUGAGUGAAACUGGUAGCCUAGAGUAGAGGAGAGGUAGACGGAAUUCCGCGUGUAGUGGUGAAAUGCGUAGAGAUGCGGAAGAACACCAGUGGCGAAGGCGGUCUACUGGCCUCUAACUGACACUCAGACGCGAAAGCAUGGGUAGCGAACGGGAUUAGAAACCCCGGUAGUCCAUGCCGUAAACGAUGCACACUAGACGUUCGCAGUCAAUGGCUGUGAGUGUCGAAGCAAACGCGAUAAGUGUGCCGCCUGGGGAGUACGGUCGCAAGGCUAAAACUCAAAGGAAUUGACGGGGGCCCGCACAAGCAGCGGAGCGUGUGGUUUAAUUCGAGGAUACGCGAAGAACCUUACCUGGGUUUGACAUCAUAAUGGUAGGAUUUAGAGAUAGAUCUGACCCUUCGGGGAGUUAUGACAGGUGCUGCAUGGUUGUCGUCAGCUCGUGCCGUGAGGUGUUCGGUUAAGUCCGCAAACGAGCGCAACCCUCGGCGUUAGUUACAAGUGUCUAGCGCAACUGCCCGUGGCAAACGGGAGGAAGGUGGGGAUGACGUCAAAUCAGCAUGGCCUUUAUAUCCAGGGCUACACACACGCUACAAUGGCACAUACAAUGGGUAGCGAAGCCGUGAGGUGGAGCCAAUCUCGAAAGUGUGUCUCAGUUCGGAUUACAGGCUGCAACUCGCCUGUAUGAAGUCGGAGUUGCUAGUAACCGUGUAUCAGCACGGCACGGUGAAUACGUUCCCGGGCCUUGUACACACCGCCCGUCACGUCAUGGGAGCUGGUUACGCCUGAAGUCGGGAAGCCAACCGCAAGGAGGCUACUGCCGAAGGCAGAACUGGUAACUGGGACGAAGUCGUAACAAGGUAGCUGUAGCGGAAGCUGCGGCUGGAUCACCU
rnacentral:rRNA from 1 species